rnacentral:rRNA from 1 species
CGGGCGGGUGAGUAACACGUGGAUAACCUACCUAUAAGACUGGGAUAACUUCGGGAAACCGGAGCUAAUACCGGAUAAUAUAUUGAACCGCAUGGUUCAAUAGUGAAAGACGGUUUUGCUGUCACUUAUAGAUGGAUCCGCGCCGCAUUAGCUAGUUGGUAAGGUAACGGCUUACCAAGGCAACGAUGCGUAGCCGACCUGAGAGGGUGAUCGGCCACACUGGAACUGAGACACGGUCCAG